rnacentral:rRNA from 1 species
UAGGGAAUCUUGCGCAAUGGGCGAAAGCCUGACGCAGCCAUGCCGCGUGAAUGAUGAAGGUCUUAGGAUUGUAAAAUUCUUUCACCGGGGAAGAUAAUGACGGUACCCGGAGAAGAAGCCCCGGCUAACUUCGUGCCAGCAGCCGCGGUAAUACGAAGGGGGCUAGCGUUGCUCGGAAUUACUGGGCGUAAAGGGCGCGUAGGCGGAUACUUAAGUUAGAGGUGAAAGCCCAGGGCUCAACCCUGGAAUAGCCUUUAAUACUGGAUGUCUUGAGUUCGGGAGAGGUGAGUGGAAUGCCGAGUGUAGAGGUGAAAUUCGUAGAUAUUCGGCGGAACACCAGUGGCGAAGGCGACUCACUGGCCCGAUACUGACGCUGAGGCGCGAAAGCGUGGGGAGCAAACA